rnacentral:rRNA from 1 species
UGAGUAACACGUAUCCAACCUGUCGUCUACUCUUGGACAGCCUUCUGAAAGGAAGAUUAAUACAAGAUGGCAUCAUGAGUCCGCAUGUUCACAUGAUUAAAGGUAUUCCGGUAGACGAUGGGGAUGCGUUCCAUUAGAUAGUAGGCGGGGUAACGGCCCACCUAGUCUUCGAUGGAUAGGGGUUCUGAGAGGAAGGUCCCCCACAUUGGAACUGAGACACGGUCCAA